UGGCAAUAAGAAAACAAACCUGUUCCUACAGUGCUUGCAAGAGCAGCUUUGAAAGGGUUUGAGGCCUUGCUCUACAGUAUCUACAGAGCAAAGUUAUAGAAAUUUCAGACAUUC
rnacentral:snoRNA from 1 species